CGGGAAGGUGCAGAAGAAGGAAGAGCAAAACAAGGCGGACAAGUUGUGGAAGGCAGUAAGAUCUCUCCUUUACUGUCAUUGAUUGCUCUCUCUCUGGUCAUCACAGAAAUUCAAGACCAAGUGUGUGGAGCCAUUCACCUCAACUUCCAUUACUUCACAAAAGUGUCCCAGAAAAGGGGGUCAUCUGCCAGUGACAGGCCUGAGUGUAUAAAUAUAUGUAAGGAUGACAUGAAAAGUUUUUGGUUUGCUGCAAAAGUUCCCUGAGCUGGAUGCUCAAUCAUCAAAACUGCUCAAGUUUUUUGGCAAGAAGGGUGGUGCUGAGGGAAGAAAGGUCAAGAUCAUCCUGAUGCCCCUGAUCCAGACUGACAACAUUGAUGUGAAAAGAGAGUGCCUCCAUCAGGCGCUGUUGGUCUACCUGAACGAAGACCCAGAGAAAGUGGUGAAAUAACACAUGGACUCUGAUGUUGACAACGGUCAAGCUGAAAUGGAGACUGUCUUCAGAGUAUUUGUGAUUCGCAGAGAAGGUGCAGAACGUGACGAUGGUCCAGAGGAUGUGGGUGUGGAGGGGGUACAAGUCCUCAUUGAGCUGGGUAAUGGAGCAGUUGCAAUGCUGUUUGCUUUAGUUUAUGCACUCAAUCUCAGCUACCCCCCAGAGUGGAAAUACACUUUCAAAGCUCUGCAGAAAUUCAUCAUGGGGGUUGAUGGACAGAGGUUCUCUAAGAAACUGCAGGUGCUGAAAACCCUACUUACGUGUUAAUAUUUUGCAGGGUAACUUGUCUUCAACAAUGAAAGUAUCCCGGAGUCAUGUUGGGGAGCCGUUCAGUCAAUAUUAGUUUUUAAAAAUGACAAGUCUGUUUUUAUGUUUCAAUGCUCCCAAUUGUUGCAAAAAUGUGGAGAAGCUUUCUGUUCCUUGUUGAUCUAUUUCUGUGUUAACAGUGCUUCAAAUUGUUGCCUUGUUUGAAUUUGAAAGACAUGUGUAUGGGUAUUUCAGACUAUUUUUCCAUACAAAAGCAAAGAUGAUAAUAGGUAAAUCCGUUUCAUCUGAUUUAAAAUUUUAAAAUGAGACUGUAUUUUAGCAUUGCAUAUUAUAGCAUCAAAAUACUCGUACUCGUCGGCUUCUGCUUCUUCCGGGACCGGGUCGCGGGGGCAGCAGACUCAGCAGAGACACCCAGACGUCCCUCUCCCCAGACACCUCCUCCAACUCCUCCGGGGAGAGCCCAA